UCUUAUAUAGUUUAAAUAAAAUAUUAAUUUUGUAAAUUAAGGUUAUCAAUUGAUUUUAAGAU
rnacentral:tRNA from 1 species